AUUGAACGCUGGCGGCAGGCUUAACACAUGCAAGUCGAACGAGUGGCGGACGGGUGAGUAAUGCUUGGGAAUCUAGCUUAUGGAGGGGGAUAACUAUGGGAAACUGUAGCUAAUACCGCGUACCAUAGGAUGAGCCCAAGUGUGCUUAGGUAGUUGGUGAGGUAAAGGCUCACCAAGCAGACGAUCUCUAGCUGGUCUGAGAGGAGGACGAGCCACACUGGGACCGGUACACGGCCCAGACUCUUACGGUAGGCAGCAGUGGGGAAUAUUGCGCAAUGGGGGCACCCUGACGCAGCCAUGCCGCGUGAAUGAAGAAGGCCUUCGGGUUGUAAGUUCUUUCGGUAGCGAGGCGUUAACUACAGAAGAAGCACCGGCUAACUCCGUGCCAGCAGCCGCGGUAAUAC
rnacentral:rRNA from 1 species